CACACACACACACCCCGGCAACAAACACAUCGGGAGACGGAGAAAAUGCGCCGAGACGGGGAGGCACAAGGCCAGAAACUUACCUGCUCCACGACCGGCUGCCAAAGCUGGCGACUUUGCUGCUGAGCUGAAACUGCUAAUUUCUGUGACCAGCUUUUUUCUUAGCUGUGAUCUGGAUGAAUGAGUAGCUGUCUCACAGAGAUGACAAAAAUAAACUCUAAUCCCCCCAAA